rnacentral:rRNA from 1 species
UACGAAGGGUGCAAACGUUGCUCGGAAUUACUGGGCGUAAAGCGUGCGCAGGCGGUUUUGUAAGUCCGGCGUGAAAUCCCCGAGCUCAACUUGGGAAUUGCGCUUGUGACUGCAAGGCUUGAAUCUGGCAGAGGGGGGUAGAAUUCCACGUGUAGCAGUGAAAUGCGUAGAGAUGUGGAGGAACACCGAUGGCGAAGGCAGCCCCCUGGGUCAAGAUUGACGCUCAUGCACGAAAGCGUGGGGAGCAAACAGG